GAUGAACGCUAGCGGCAGGCCUAACACAUGCAAGUCGAGGGAGAGAUUAUCUUCGGGUAACCAAAACCGGCGCACGGGUGCGUAACGCGUAUACAAUCUGCCUUUCACAUAGGGAUAGCCCGAAGAAAUUUGGAUUAAUACCUAAUGGUAUAUAGGAGCGGCAUCGUUUUUAUAUUAAAGCUACGGUGGUGAAAGAUGAGUAUGCGUUCUAUUAGCUAGUUGGAGAGGUAACGGCUCCCCAAGGCGACGAUAGAUAGGGGUUCUGAGAGGGAUGUCCCCCACACUGGUACUGAGAUACGGACCAGACUCCUACGGGAGGCAGCAGUGAGGAAUAUUGGACAAUGGUCGGAAGACUGAUCCAGCCAUGCCGCGUGCAGGAUGAAGGGCCUAUGGAUUGUAAACUGCUUUUGUAAGGGAAGAAUAAGGAGUACGUGUACUUUGAUGACGGUACCUUACGAAUAAGCAUCGGCUAACUCCGUGCCAGCAGCCGCGGUAAUACGGAGGAUGCGAGCGUUAUCCGGAAUCAUUGGGUUUAAAGGGUCCGUAGGCGGGCUGAUAAGUCAGAGGUGAAAGCGCUUAGCUCAACUAAGCGACUGCCUUGAAACUGUCAGUCUUGAAUGAUUGUGAAGUAGUGGAUGUGUAGUGUAGCGGUGUAAUGCUUAGAUAUUACACAGAACACCGAUAGCGCAGGGCUAUUACUUACAAUUUAUUGACGCUGAUGGACGAAAGCGUGGGGAGACGACACGG
rnacentral:rRNA from 1 species